rnacentral:tRNA from 1 species
GCCGAGGUAGCUCAGUGGUAGAGCGAUAGACUGAAAAUCUAUGCGUCGCGAGUUCGAUCCUCGCCCUCGGCA